ACCUGCCUUACGCAGGGGGAUAACAUUUGGAAAUGACUGCUAAUACCGCAUAAGACCCCGGUACCGCAUGGUACAGAGGUAAAAACUGAGGUGGUGUAAGAUGGACCCGCGUCUGAUUAGGUAGUUGGUGAGGUAACGGCUCACCAAGCCGACGAUCAGUAGCCGGCCUGAGAGGGUGGACGGCCACAUUGGGACUGAGACACGGCCCAGACUCCUACGGGAGGCAGCAGUGGGGAAUAUUGCACAAUGGGGGAAACCCUGAUGCAGCGACGCCGCGUGAGCGAUGAAGUAUUUCGGUAUGUAAAGCUCUAUCAGCAGGGAAGAAAAUGACGGUACCUGACUAAGAAGCCCCGGCUAACUACGUGCCAGCAGCCGCGGUAAUACGUAGGGGGCAAGCGUUAUCCGGAUUUACUGGGUGUAAAGGGAGCGUAGACGGCAUGGCAAGUCAGAUGUGAAAUACCGGGGCUCAACCCCGGGACUGCAUUUGAAACUGUUAAGCUGGAGUGUCGGAGAGGCAGGCGGAAUUCCUAGUGUAGCGGUGAAAUGCGUAGAUAUUAGGAGGAACACCAGUGGCGAAGGCGGCCUGCUGGACGAUAACUGACGUUGAGGCUCGAAAGCGUGNGGAGCAAACAGGAUUAGAUACCCUGGUAGUCCACGCCGU
rnacentral:rRNA from 1 species